rnacentral:rRNA from 1 species
AGUGAACGCUGGCGGCAGGCCUAACACAUGCAAGUCGAACGGCAGCACAGUAAGAGCUUGCUCUUACGGGUGGCGAGUGGCGGACGGGUGAGGAAUACAUCGGAACCUACUUUUUCGUGGGGGAUAGCGUAGGGAAACUUACGCUAAUACCGCAUACGACCUACGGGUGGAAGCAGGGGAUCUUUGGACCUUGCGCGAUUGAAUGAGCCGAUGUCGGAUUAGCUAGUUGGCGGGGUAAAGGCCCACCAAGGCGACGGUCCGUAGCUGGUCUGAGAGGAUGAUCAGCCACACUGGAACUGAGACACGGUCCAGACUCCUACGGGAGGCAGCAGUGGGGAAUAUUGGACAAUGGGCGCAAGCCUGAUCCAGCCAUACCGCGUGGGUGAAGAAGGCCUUCGGGUUGUAAAGCCCUUUUGUUGGGAAAGAAAAGCAGCAGGUUAAUACCCCGCUGUUCUGACGGUACCCAAAGAAUAAGCACCGGCUAACUUUGUG